UACGAAGGGGGCUAGCGUUGUUCGGAUUUACUGGGCGUAAAGCGCACGUAGGCGGAUCGUUAAGUCGGGGGUGAAAUCCUGGAGCUUAACUGCAGAACUGCCAUUGAUACUGUCGAUCUUGAGUACAUUUGAUGAGGGCGGAAUGUGUCAUGUAGCGGUGAAAUGCUUAGAGAUGUGGAGGAACACCAAUGGCGAAGGCAGCCUUCUGGGCCAACACUGACGCUCAUGCACGAAAGCGUGGGGAGCAAACAGG
rnacentral:rRNA from 1 species